rnacentral:rRNA from 1 species
ACAGGCUUAGAUACCCUGGUAGUCCACGCUGUAAACGGUGGGUACUAGGUGUGGGGUCCAUUCCACGGGGUUCCGUGCCGUAGCUAACGCUUUAAGUACCCCGCCUGGGGAGUACGGCCGCAAGGCUAAAACUCAAAGGAAUUGACGGGGCCCCGCACAAGCGGCGGAGCAUGCGGAUUAAUUCGAUGCAACGCGUAGAACCUUACCUGGGUUUGACAUGGAUCGGGAGUGCUCAGAGAUGGGUGUGCCUCUUUUGGGGUCGGUUCACAGGUGGUGCAUGGCUGUCGUCAGCUCGUGUCGUGAGAUGUUGGGUUAAGUCCCGCAACGAGCGCAACCCUUGUUCACUGUUGCCAGCACGUUAUGGUGGGGACUCAGUGGAGACCGCCGGGGUCAACUCGGAGGAAGGUGGGGAUGACGUCAAGUCAUCAUGCCCCUUAUGUCCAGGGCUUCACGCAUGCUACAAUGGCUGGUACAGAGAGUGGCGAGCCUGUGAGGGUGAGCGAAUCUCGGAAAGCCGGUCUCAGUUCGGAUUGGGGUCUGCAACUCGACCUCAUGAAGUCGGAGUCGCUAGUAAUCGCAGAUCAGCAACGCUGCGGUGAAUACGUUCCCGGGGCUUGUACACACCGCCCGUCAAGUCAUGAAAGUUGGUAACACCCGAAGCCGGUGGCCUAACCGUUGUGGGGGAGCCGUCGAAGGUGGGACUG